rnacentral:rRNA from 1 species
AAAUUGAAGAGUUUGAUCAUGGCUCAGAUUGAACGCUGGCGGCAGGCCUAACACAUGCAAGUCGAACGGUAACAGGAAGCAGCUUGCUGCUUCGCUGACGAGUGGCGGACGGGUGAGUAAUGUCUGGGAAACUGCCUGAUGGAGGGGGAUAACUACUGGAAACGGUGGCUAAUACCGCAUAACGUCGCAAGACCAAAGAGGGGGACCUUCGGGCCUCUUGCCAUCAGAUGUGCCCAGAUGGGAUUAGCUUGUUGGUGAGGUAACGGCUCACCAAGGCGACGAUCCCUAGCUGGUCUGAGAGGAUGACCAGCCACAC